CCAGAAUUGGAUCUUUAAUUUGUGUGUACUGCUCCUUCCUUUCUGAGUUAUGAAUUGUCUCUAAUUUGGAGAUUGUUCAUAUGGUGAUACUUGAAAACAUCUAACCGAGGGCAGGAAUUGUUUGUAUUUUGAUUGAAGCUAGUCUAUUGAUUCAAACACAUGAAUACGUUUUUGUCCUGUAAAUUUUCACUGCUGCACAGAGCCAGUCAAGCCAAGAAUUGAAAUGAGCAGUCUUUGCUUGUGAGUCUGUCUGAACCUCUGUCUCCUAAAAGUUGUCUACAUCUGCAAGAUUGCCUCACCUCCACAGCAAGAAUAAUAAACAUGUUUUACCAUUUAUUUUGUGUUAUUCCCAG